AAACUCUUGCUUCUCUUCAACUCGUAUAAAUCUUUCGCCUUUUACUAAAGAUUUCCGUGGAGAGGAGCAUUAUGAGUAUAAACUAAUUUUUCGAUGCCCUGCUUUAUAGUGGGGCU
ensembl:snRNA U5 U5 spliceosomal RNA